CGCCUCUUGCAACCAUAAGAGGUCCAGCCUGCCCAGUGAUCAUAUUCAACGGCCGCGGUAUUCUAACCGUGCAAAGGUAGCGUAAUCACUUGUUUUCUAAAUAAAGACCAGUAUGAAAGGCAUCACGAAGACUCAACUGUCUCCUUUCUCCAAUCAGUGAACCUAAUCUCCCCGUGAAGAAGCGGGGAUCCUAAUAUAAGACGAGAAGACCCUGUGGAGCUUAAAACAUCAUAACAAUUGCCACCACCUUCAACCAUUCAGAUAUCUCUCUCAUCGGCACCCUAAUUAUAUGUUUUUGGUUGGGGUGACCGCGGAGAAAAACUAAUCCUCCACAAUGAAAGGAAUUUCUCAUCCUAAACAACAAGUUACAACUUUAUGUAUCAAAAAAUUGACAUUCAUUGACCCAAUAAAUUGAUUAACGAACCAAGUUACCCCGGGGAUAACAGCACAAUCCACUUCAAGAGCCCCUAUCGACAAGUGGGCUUAUGACCUCGAUGUUGGAUCGGGAUAUCCUAGUGGUGCAGCCGCUACUAAAGGUUCGUUUGUUCAACGAUUAAAAUCCC
rnacentral:rRNA from 1 species